AAAAGUUGAAAGGUCCACCACUCAAACAGGUAAAGUAAAUAGGCGUUUUUACAACACACAGAGGCCAUGGUAUAAAACGCGAAACACUUGUUCACAUUUCAACAUUCAUCCAACUACAUUCUUCCUCUUCAGUCAACUAGCCAAAGUGUUAAAAAAACAAGGAAAAUGUUGCAAAACUCCAUGCUUCGAUUCGCCUUUGUGUUGGUCUUAUUGUGCGUCCUAUCCUCUUACUCGGCGAUGGCGUGUGAUUGCAAUUAUCACAGCGGCGGUUGCUCGAUUAGCAAGCCUGCUUCUUCGGGAAAUGCCUGCAAAUGCUCCUACAAAGGAUUUUACACUUGCAGUGGAAGCCAAACAGGUUGCCGGGAUCCCACAUCGCCUUACUGCAAAAAUCCCGAUACCUCUAUUCAAUCCUGUUUCCUGGGUGGCGGCGAUUGCGGCGGUUACUAAUAAUUGGCGCUCUCAUCAACCGAGUCAAUUGUCAUUUUGUGUGCCAAUUAUUUAUGAGAAAUGCCAAUUUGGAACGCAUUGCAAUAGUUUCCAAUCAAUUUUAUGUUAUGGGAAAAAUACACACGCUUUAAAAUCAA